GAUGAACGCUAGCUACAGGCUUAACACAUGCAAGUCGAGGGGCAGCAUUUCAGUUUGCUUGCAAACUGGAGAUGGCGACCGGCGCACGGGUGAGUAACACGUAUCCAACCUGCCGAUAACUCGGGGAUAGCCUUUCGAAAGAAAGAUUAAUACCCGAUGGUAUAAUCAGACCGCAUGGUCUUGUUAUUAAAGAAUUUCGGUUAUCGAUGGGGAUGCGUUCCAUUAGGCAGUUGGUGAGGUAACGGCUCACCAAACCUUCGAUGGAUAGGGGUUCUGAGAGGAAGGUCCCCCACAUUGGAACUGAGACACGGUCCAAACUCCUACGGGAGGCAGCAGUGAGGAAUAUUGGUCAAUGGGCGCAGGCCUGAACCAGCCAAGUAGCGUGAAGGAUGACUGCCCUAUGGGUUGUAAACUUCUUUUAUAUGGGAAUAAAGUUUUCCACGUGUGGAAUUUUGUAUGUACCAUAUGAAUAAGGAUCGGCUAACUCCGUGCCAGCAGCCGCGGUAAUACGGAGGAUCCGAGCGUUAUCCGGAUUUAUUGGGUUUAAAGGGAGCGUAGGUGGACAGUUAAGUCAGUUGUGAAAGUUUGCGGCUCAACCGUAAAAUUGCAGUUGAUACUGGCUGUCUUGAGUACAGUAGAGGUGGGCGGAAUUCGUGGUGUAGCGGUGAAAUGCUUAGAUAUCACGAAGAACUCCGAUUGCGAAGGCAGCUCACUGGACUGCAACUGACACUGAUGCUCGAAAGUGUGGGUAUCAAACAGG
rnacentral:rRNA from 1 species